UAGGGAAUCUUCGGCAAUGGACGGAAGUCUGACCGAGCAACGCCGCGUGAGUGAAGAAGGUUUUCGGAUCGUAAAGCUCUGUUGUAAGUCAAGAACGAGUGUGAGAGUGGAAAGUUCACACAGUGACGGUAACUUACCAGAAAGGGACGGCUAACUACGUGCCAGCAGCCGCGGUAAUACGUAGGUCCCGAGCGUUGUCCGGAUUUAUUGGGCGUAAAGCGAGCGCAGGCGGUUUAAUAAGUCUGAAGUUAAAGGCAGUGGCUUAACCAUUGUUCGCUUUGGAAACUGUUAAACUUGAGUGCAGAAGGGGAGAGUGGAAUUCCAUGUGUAGCGGUGAAAUGCGUAGAUAUAUGGAGGAACACCGGUGGCGAAGGCGGCCUGCUGGACCAAAACUGACGCUGAGGCUCGAAAGCGUGGGUAGCAAACAGGAUUAGAUACCCUGGUAGUCCACGCUGUAAACGAUGAAUACUAGGUGCUGGGAGGCAUAAGCCUUUCGGUGCCGUCGCAAACGCAUUAAGUAUUCCACCUGGGGAGUACGUUCGCAAGAAUG
rnacentral:rRNA from 1 species